rnacentral:rRNA from 1 species
GACGAACGCUGGCGGCGUGCUUAACACAUGCAAGUCGAGCGGUAAGGCCCUUUCGGGGGUACACGAGCGGCGAACGGGUGAGUAACACGUGGGUGACCUGCCCUCAGCUCUGGGAUAAGCCUAGGAAACUGGGUCUAAUACUGGAUAUGACUCCAUGACGCAUGUUGUGGGGUGGAAAGCCUUGUGCGGCUGAGGAUGGGCCCGCGGCCUAUCAGCUUGUUGGUGGGGNGAUGGCCUACCAAGGCGACGACGGGUAGCCGGCCUGAGAGGGCGACCGGCCACACUGGGACUGAGACACGGCCCAGACUCCUACGGGAGGCAGCAGUGGGGAAUCUUGCGCAAUGGGCGAAAGCCUGACGCAGCGACGCCGCGUGA